rnacentral:SRP_RNA from 1 species
CCGUGCUAGGCGGGGAGGUAGCGGUGCCCUGCACCCGCAAUCCGCUCUAGCGGGGCCGAAUUCCCGUUCGAGGGGCUUUGGUCCUGGGGGUCAGUACGCCGUACGGAGGUGCUGAUGGCCGGGUCCCGCGCGGUGAACGCCUGCGAACCAGGUCAGGUCCGGAAGGAAGCAGCCUUAAGCGGAUCCGUUCAUGCGCCGCGGAACAGCCUGGCCGGAGCCAAAGGACGGCGGGCACGCCCCAGGACCGGUUUCGACGACGGGUGCACGG